rnacentral:rRNA from 1 species
UACGUAGGGGGCGAGCGUUGUCCGGAUUUACUGGGCGUAAAGAGCGCGCAGGCGGUCGAUUUAGUCGUGUGUGAAAGCCCCCGGCUCAACUGGGGAGGGUCACGCGAUACUGAUCGACUCGAAGGCAGGAGAGGGUAGUGGAAUUCCCGGUGUAGUGGUGAAAUGCGUAGAUAUCGGGAGGAACACCAGUGGCGAAGGCGACUACCUGGCCUGUUCUUGACGCUGAGGCGCGAAAGCUAGGGGAGCAAACGGG